UACGGAGGAUGCAAGCGUUAUCCGGAAUGAUUGGGCGUAAAGCGUCCGCAGGUGGCAAUGUAAGUCUGCUGUUAAAGAGUCUAGCUCAACUAGAUAAGAGCAGUGGAAACUACAUAGCUAGAGUACGUUCGGGGCAGAGGGAAUUCCUGGUGUAGCGGUGAAAUGCGUAGAGAUCAGGAAGAACACCGGUGGCGAAAGCGUUCUGCUAGACCUGUACUGACACUGAGGGACGAAAGCUAGGGGAGCGAAUGGG
rnacentral:rRNA from 1 species